AUUGAACGCUGGCGGCAUGCCUAACACAUGCAAGUCGAACGAGUGGCGGACGGGUGAGUAAUGUCUGGGAAACUGCCUGCUGGAGGGGGAUAACUACUGGAAACGGUAGCUAAUACCGCAUACCAUCAGAUGUGCCCAGAUGGGAUUAGCUAGUAGGUGGGGUAACGGCUCACCAAGGCGACGAUCCCUAGCUGGUCUGAGAGGAUGAAAGGCCACACUGGAACGGAGACACGGGCCAGACUCCUACGGGAGGCAGCAGUGGGGAAUAUUGGACAAUGGGCGCAAGCCUGAUACAGCCAUGCCGCGUGUAUGAAGAAGGCCUUCGGGUUGUAAAGUACUUUCAGCGGGGAGGCGGUACCCGGAGAAGAAGCACCGGCUAACUCCGUGCCAGCCGCCGCGGUAAUAC
rnacentral:rRNA from 1 species